GAGGAGGGGCGAAGUGCGGGCCCGGCCCGCCUCUCCUCCGCAGGGACUCGCCAGCUCUGCGGGGCCCCGCCAGAGGCAGCGCCUGUUUACCUCACAGUUCCUCCAGCCUACAGGGCGCCGCCAUCUUGGACGUACAGCACCUCCCCCCGUCGUGAAAGGUCCACGGCCGCUGCAGCCUCCGCCACGAAAAAGAGUUCCCACUUGGGUCUGGCCUGCCUCUCGACCCCGGCGACAGAUGACCGCAGCCGGCAGCCCCGUUGGACGGAAGAGGCCUUCCUGGUCAUUAGUGAUAAUGCGGAAUAUUUGCGGGAGCCCGCCUUGCUAACACUGCAACGUGGUCACCGCGGCCGUGGGAAACAACUACCCCGAUCAGAGCAGACAGCUUUAAAAUAAACAGCCUUAGCUCCGCUCCUUCUCCUUAGCUCUGUGAACCUAACACGUCUGGAAGCCUCCGCCUCAGUUUCUUCUUCUGUGAAAUGGGCCGAUAGCCUUCCUGAAGUGAGGAUUCAAGUCCCACGCACAGGAAAUGCUCAACAGGCGGCACCCUGGAGCCUCCUUGUGGCAGGAGCUCCCCCGCUGGGCUUUCUCCACCAGUCCUGGUUCGCCUGUCUCCAUGUGACAAGAAACAAAGGAGCUGAGCCCGUGUUUGCAGGGGGUGCUGCCUCUAUGCAUGUGACAGAUGUCCACUACACUUGCCUGGGCAGCGUCUCCCCCUCCCCUUCCUGGGGCCACCACAGCACCACCCUCAAGCCACAGGCACCUGGGCCCAGUCUAGCCAAUCCCAGAUCCCCAUCCUCUAGCCAAAGUGGUUGACUGUUGGACACGUGACUUGAGCUGGACCAAUCAGGGUGCUUCCCUGGGUCUCUAUAUGGAUGCGAAAAGAGAGAUUGUGUCUUUCCUGUGGGGUUGCUAAACCAGGGUGAGGAAGCUGUGACCUUCCACUUCCCCGUGUCCUACAUCAAGCCCUGAGAGAAGCCCAGCCAACAGAUGGAGAAGACCUACAUGGCAACAGCAAUAGAGAUGGAAAAAGAAAUCUGAUUUGUUAUCUCCUGAGUUUUCAGAGUCCCCAGAGGCUGGAUUUGCACUGGCCUCCCAAGUGCCAUGAGGCAACAACUAUUUUGGCCGAUGCUGGUUUUGGGUAUAGGUUUCUCUCUUCUGCAAACAGAAGGCCUCCCAGGUGCAAUGAGAUCUGAAGGCCUUUGGAAGGACACCACCAGUACAAAAUACUUCUCCCUCAUCCGCUGGCGUGGUCCUCUUGCGGGCUUUCAGCCCCUCGCUGUCUAGCCCUGUGUCCGAAAGAUGAAGACAAUAAAUGUCUACACUACACUAUAUGACUCCAUAGCUAUGUAUGUAUGUACUUUCAACUUAUGUAAAUGGUUUAUGUCUCAGAUGGCAAUCUGUCUCUUACUUUUCCCCCCCACUCACCAUUGUUUUGAAUCUCAUUGCUUUGUGUUCAUGUAGCCAGUAGCUUUAAACUGCUGACAAUUAUUCAGUGACGCAAAUCUAACCUGAUCUACUCUCCACUCUGCCAGGGAAUAACAGCCACAGUCCCACCAGAAACAACGCCGUGAGAAACAUCACUGUCCUUGUUCCCUUAUGGAUAGGGCUGAGAAUUUGGGGGAGAUGCAUAUUCUAGGAGUAGAACUGGUGGGCUGACUUUUUGUUGUUGUUGUUGUUUUUAGAGAAAUUGUUUUAGCUUUAUUGUGAUAUAAUUGGUAUACAAGGAAUUGCACACAUGUAAUUGAAUGUAUCCGGAUGCUUGUGGACAUAUGCAUACAGCCGUGAUACCAUUGCUCCAACCAAGGUACUAAACAUAUCCAUCACCUCCAAAAAUUUUGCACUGACUUACCACCAAAUUGUGCCCCAGAAAGACUGCCCCAGUCUACACC
ensembl:lincRNA